GUGGGGAAUCUUGCGCAAUGGGCGAAAGCCUGACGCAGCCAUGCCGCGUGAAUGAUGAAGGUCUUAGGAUUGUAAAAUUCUUUCACCGGGGACGAUAAUGACGGUACCCGGAGAAGAAGCUCCGGCUAACUUCGUGCCAGCAGCCGCGGUAAUACGAAGGGGGCUAGCGUUGCUCGGAAUUACUGGGCGUAAAGGGCGCGUAGGCGGACAGCUUAGUCAGAGGUGAAAGCCCAGGGCUCAACCUUGGAAUUGCCUUUGAUACUGGCUGUCUUGAGUACGGGAGAGGUGAGUGGAACUCCGAGUGUAGAGGUGAAAUUCGUAGAUAUUCGGAAGAACACCAGUGGCGAAGGCGACUCACUGGCCCGUUACUGACGCUGAGGCGCGAAAGCGUGGGGAGCAAACAGGAUUAGAAACCCUUGUAGUCC
rnacentral:rRNA from 1 species